CGAACGCUGGCGGCGUGCCUAAUACAUGCAAGUCGAACGGUCUUUCUAUGGAAGCUUGCUUCCACUGAGAAGAUAGUGGCGAACGGGUGAGUAACACGUGGGUAACCUGCCCAUAAGAGGGGGAUAACAUCCGGAAACGGGUGCUAAUACCGCAUAGUUUCUUGAUCGCAUGAUUGAGAAAGGAAAGACGGCCUUUGUGCUGUCGCUUAUGGAUGGACCCGCGGCGUAUUAGUUAGUUGGUGAGGUAACGGCUCACCAAGACGAUGAUACGUAGCCGACCUGAGAGGGUGAUCGGCCACAUUGGGACUGAGACACGGCCCAAACUCCUACGGGAGGCAGCAGUAGGGAAUCUUCCGCAAUGGACGAAAGUCUGACGGAGCAACGCCGCGUGAGUGAAAGAAGGUUUUCGGAUCGUAAAACUCUGUUGUCAGAGAAGAACAAGUUGGAGAGUAACUGCUCCAGCCUUGACGGUAUCUGACCAGAAAGCCACGGCUAACUACGUGCCAGCCGCGGC
rnacentral:rRNA from 1 species